GUCCACCUUUCAGCAGUUAAGAAUAAUGCUGCCGUGAACAUGGGUGUUCAAAUACCUCUUCAGGAUCCUGCUUCUAACUCUUUUGGGCAUAUACCCAGGGCAUGUGCUAUAUACUGUCUCAUCUUUGGAGGGGGUGGGUGUGGCCUGGUUUCUGAAUCAGAGGGUAUGAGGAGGUUGGAGGGGAUUGGCUGUGUGACCUUGGGCAGGACACUUUCCCUCUCUGACAGCAGAUCACAUUUCCAAACAGGGACUUCUGUUAACCAGACACAUGCCCAAGCCCAUUUUCCUGGGAAAUUCUAAUUCAAUGCCUGUCCUGGGACCCAGGAAUUUGGAAUUUUUUGAAGAGCCUCAGGUGAUUUUUAUCAUCAAACAGGUUUGGGAAUCACAUGGCCGGAGAAUUUCUAAAGACCCUUGCAGCUGUGACAUAUGACUUCAGUGAUUAAGAGACUAACCUGGAGUCUGACUGAUUUCAGUUAAAUUCCUGGUUGCCAGUCACCAGCACCACCUCAGUUUCAUCCCGUAAAGGAGGGUAAUGGCGCCUACCCCAGGACUCCUGCAUGAAUCGUCCGCUCCUUCAGCCUGACUGUUCUUCUCGCAGUGGGUGGGUUCCUGUCGCCUCCUGGUGCAAACUUCCCAUAAACGAUCUGGGCCCAGGCGUUCCACUUGCCCCAGGUUCAUAGGUGCACCGGGGGAUGACCGUGCCACGUGACAGCCCCAGCCUGGAGCAGGAGACCUGGUUCUACCACUGAGAGUUACUCAUCACACACCGUGGGCCCUGGAGAGACAGCUGUGAACAGAAUAGACAAAGUCCCUGGCCUCAGGGAGUUUUUCUUCAUAGCUCCUGUGACAUCAUUCAGAGACGUGUGGGGAACUACCCAGUGGGGAGAUAGUAUCCUCAUUUCUCGAAGGCCUCUUGGAGACGGUGCUGGGCUGAGUGGUUCUCAGAGUCAGGUGGGCAUGUGAAUUCCCAGAGGCUAUGCUAGAAUGCUGAAGGCUGGGCCCCAGCCCAGAGCUGCUGAUAGUCAGAGGUGAGGUCUGUGCAUCCAUGCUUCUAACGUGUUCCCCAGUAAUGCCGAGGGAACCAUUACUGUUCCCCAGUAAUGCUGCUGGUCCAGGGAACCUGCUUUGACAAUCACUGCUUUACUGCAAGGAAUAAUUUCAAGCAUUUCAUAAACCCCAGUAAUAUUAUUUGUCAUGUUCUCCUUUUCUAGAGGAGACAUCAGUGCCCCAGUUUUAUUCUCUGUGCCUCCCAAUAACCUCAUCUCACAGCCUGUGCAUUCCAUGAGGAAAAAACCAAGCUGGAACACCAUUUUCAGCUCCUUCGGCCAGCGCCCAACAGUCACUAGGGCUUCCUUCAGCCCAGGCUCUGAGCUCAAACAGCUGACCUGAAUCCUGCUCACUCCCGCCUGUCCUCCUGUGAGACCCUGGACAGUGGCUUAACCUUCCUUAGCCUCUGUUUCCUUAUCCAAGAAGCAAGGCUAAGACUAGGACCCUGGGGACUUCCCUGGUGGUCCAGUGGCUAAGACGCCAAGCUCCCAAUGCAUGGGCCUGGGUUUGAUGCCUGGUCAGGGAACUAGACCCCACACGCCGCAACUAAGAGUUCACAUGCCACAGCUGAGAACCGAUGCAGCCAAAAAAAAAGACUAAGACCCUGGCACUGCAAGGCUAGAGCUCACUGAGAGAAACUCCCUUCUAGAACAGUCUGCCAGGGGCUAUGUGACAUCAAUAGCACCCUGAUGGAUAAAAGAAGCCCCAUUCUUCAACAAAAUAAAGCUGACAAAAAUCGGCCAUUUCAAAGCUAAGACCUAUUUUCUAUUUUCCAAGAGCCUGAACACCGGAGGCAGCUGGAGUUUCCCGGUUUCUGAAAAGCCCACCUGAAUGGAUCCUUUCACGAUACAAAUGUAUUUUGCCAGAUUGAGAAACUGAAGCUCAGGGCAAUAGGCUCUAAGCAAGGGGGAUAACUUCCCCAAGGUCACCCCGCUGGGACAUGGAAAAGCAGGACGCAUGGGUCUGUUUCUGGGUAAAAUCUCCAGCUCUUAACCACUGCUUCAGACUUUCUCCAAAAUCCCCUCUUUUCUCCUUUGCACCACACAGGCUGAGCCAGGGAGGGCUGGGUUCGAGUCUCUAGGACUGGGCCCUACUUUCCUUAUACAUAAAGCACCACACAGCUGACCUUGAUAAGACAUCGGUUCUAUGCCAGGCACUGCACUAAGCACCGAACGUGGAUCAAUCCAUUUGCUUUUCACAACUUCCAUAAAGUCAGAUACAGUUAUUGUCACCACUUUACUGUCUAGAAAAUGGAGAGGUGAACUCAUGUGCUCACCUGCCUUUCAAAGUUUCCACAGGGACUAGAGAUAACACAAGUGAAUACCGCACACCUAGCAGGCACUCGUCCAUGGAAU
ensembl:lncRNA